rnacentral:lncRNA from 1 species
GGGAGGAGGGAAAGCCAUUUACCUGAUCCCCUGGGGCCGCGUCUGCUUCUCAGAAAAGGUGUGCCAUGAAAUCAAGUCACCUGAGCCUUGUGGGGGCUGCAGCUUAGGGGCACGUAGAGGAAAGUGGAGCAGAGAGGAAGGCUGGGGUGAAUUCACAGUCACUUCUGUGUCCAGGGCCCUCUCGCCCUUUACAAUGCAGUCAAACACUUGUCAGACUGAACAACAGCCACCUCUGCAGGUCCUCCUUAAAACGUGAAAUUGCCCAGGCUCCCAUCCGAGGUUCACACCAACAGCAUGUGCCUUUCUUUUUUCCCCUCUCCAUUCACUCACUGCAAGGAUAGCUCGAUGGUUUAUAGAACAGGGUAACACUCGCUUGCUGCACAUUUGGAUCACUUCAGCCAAAGGUUUGUUGCUGCAUUAAUUAGCUUCAGAGAAAACAUUGCCUUCACUUAAACUGUUUGAAUACCUCUUGUUGAAUCAUAGGCUUGACUCAAGUGUUAUUAAUUCAAGAAUCAAAAUGCCUUUUGUCCAUAUCAGAUAAACGUUGCCAUAGCAAGUGUAGCAUAAACAGAUCUGUUCAAGCCACAACAACCUACAGAAACCCACAAAGGAGGACCAGUUUUGCCUUCACAGAAGCCCUCGUGUUGCAUUAAAUGCUACCUUCUGGCCUUGUGUACAGCCAGAGAGACCAAGUACUGUACUGAUGAAUGGACUCAGGGUCCCGCCGAGCCUGGGGAGAAGCCUUUAUUGUUGAAUAAUGCUAACAGGUGGUCCACUUCCUCUCCUAUUGAGAACUACUAUCCAGUACAUGAGGACAUCAAACAACGCUCCAGGGCCUGGUCCACCGAGAGGAACAUCACAGGAAAGAAUCCAUUGGUACUUUGUUCAUUCACAAGAGCACUAGAAGAUCAUAGACUUGACCCUGCUUUAAGCCCCAGCUCCGGUGUAGCCUCGGAAGAGAAACUGACGAAGGGGAAGUUUCCAGAGUAUUCAGAAUGCAAAUGACAUUGCUACCUAUUUCAGGGAGUUCUACUUCCAAUAAUAAUUGAAUAUCUCUUAGGAGAUUAAACUUUUGAGUGAGAGCAACUAGAGAAGCUAUAUGCAAUUUCUUUAAAAUGUGUUUCAAGGCAUUAAAGAACUACCAAGGGAGCCAAGAUUUGAGGGUCCAAGAUCCUGUAAAGAAGGGAACCCCAUAGAGGUAAGGGUGGUAUCUGAGGAAACUUUUACUCCUUGAUUUACAAGGGGCAUGUGCUGAGAGGCAAAGAAGCCAAACAUAGAGCAUCUGUUAAGAGUCAGAGAUGCUCAUCAGAGCUCUCUGUCCUCUCUCACAGCCUAGAGGACAAAAACUAAAGUUCAAGGCUGUGAAAACAGCCAGGAAUUGAGGUGCCAAGGAACCAAACAGAGCUCUCAGUCAUCUCAAGGUGAUGUGGAGAUAAAAAUUCGAGUUCAGGUUCUGCCAAAUAAAGCAGUCACUGGUGAACA